rnacentral:rRNA from 4 species
CCCCGGUAAACGGCGGCCGUAACUAUAACGGUCCUAAGGUAGCGAAAUUCCUUGUCGGGUAAGUUCCGACCUGCACGAAUGGCGUAAUGAUGGCCAGGCUGUCUCCACCCGAGACUCAGUGAAAUUGAACUCGCUGUGAAGAUGCAGUGUACCCGCGGCAAGACGGAAAGACCCCGUGAACCUUUACUAUAGCUUGACACUGAACAUUGAGCCUUGAUGUGUAGGAUAGGUGGGAGGCUUUGAAGUGUGGACGCCAGUCUGCAUGGAGCCGACCUUGAAAUACCACCCUUUAAUGUUUGAUGUUCUAACGUGGACCCGUAAUCCGGGUUGCGGACAGUGUCUGGUGGGUAGUUUGACUGGGGCGGUCUCCUCCUAAAGAGUAACGGAGGAGCACGAAGGUUGGCUAAUCCUGGUCGGACAUCAGGAGGUUAGUGCAAUGGCAUAAGCCAGCUUGACUGCGAGCGUGACGGCGCGAGCAGGUGCGAAAGCAGGUCAUAGUGAUCCGGUGGUUCUGAAUGGAAGGGCCAUCGCUCAACGGAUAAAAGGUACUCCGGGGAUAACAGGCUGAUACCGCCCAAGAGUUCAUAUCGACGGCGGUGUUUGGCACCUCGAUGUCGGCUCAUCACAUCCUGGGGCUGAAGUAGGUCCCAAGGGUAUGGCUGUUCGCCAUUUAAAGUGGUACGCGAGCUGGGUUUAGAACGUCGUGAGACAGUUCGGUCCCUAUCUGCCGUGGGCGCUGGAGAACUGAGGGGGGCUGCUCCUAGUACGAGAGGACCGGAGUGGACGCAUCACUGGUGUUCGGGUUGUCAUGCCAAUGGCACUGCCCGGUAGCUAAAUGCGGAAGAGAUAAGUGCUGAAAGCAUCUAAGCACGAAACUUGCCCCGAGAUGAGUUCUCC